AAGUCGAACGGGAUUUAGUAAACAGAAGCCUCGGUGGAAGAUUACUAAUGAGAGUGGCGAACGGGUGAGUAACGCGUGAGCAACCUGCCUAUGACAGUGGGAUAGCCUCGGGAAACCGGGAUUAAUACCGCAUAAAAUCGUAGAAACACAUGUUUCAACGGUCAAAGAUUUAUCGGUCAUAGAUGGGCUCGCGUCUGAUUAGCUAGUUGGUGAGAUAACAGCCCACCAAGGCGACGAUCAGUAGCCGGUCUGAGAGGAUGAACGGCCACAUUGGAACUGAGACACGGUCCAAACUCCUACGGGAGGCAGCAGUGGGGAAUAUUGCACAAUGGGGGAAACCCUGAUGCAGCGACGCCGCGUGAACGAAGAAGGUAUUCGUAUCGUAAAGUUCUGUCCUAUGGGAAGAUAAUGACAGUACCAUAGAAGAAAGCUCCGGCUAAAUACGUGCCAGCCGCCGCGGUAA
rnacentral:rRNA from 2 species